rnacentral:lncRNA from 1 species
GGCUUGGCAUUUUAACAGUUUUUGUUUGCAAGUAAGUGAUUCAUACCUUGUUUCCUUACAGAUUCCAUCUUUACCCCUACAUGGUUGAGCUUUGCUAUCCAACAUCUUCCCUUAGCAUCACAGAAGAGCUGGCUGUGAUUGUGGUCGGGCCUCUAAUGUUGAACACAGUCAUAUUUCUUUUGGUUCUGAUCAGAUGGGGCUGUCAGCUGCUGUUUGCCUCCUGUCCUGAUGUCUUGUCAAAGUUAAUCAUUACCAUGGGACUAUGGACAGUUCUAGACCCAUUGGCGGUGUUUAUAGUGGAUAUUUUCCUGGGGUGA